rnacentral:sRNA from 1 species
UCAUAAACCUGAUGUGAACGGUAUACUUUUUUGAAGCUUCCUUCGAUAAACUCAGAAUGACAUUCGCAAAAAAGAUUUAGUGAGCAGCAGGGCUGAAA